rnacentral:rRNA from 1 species
UGGGGAAUAUUGCACAAUGGGCGCAAGCCUGAUGCAGCCAUGCCGCGUGUAUGAAGAAGGCCUUCGGGUUGUAAAGUACUUUCAGCGGGGAGGAAGGGAGUAAAGUUAAUACCUUUGCUCAUUGACGUUACCCGCAGAAGAAGCACCGGCUAACUCCGUGCCAGCAGCCGCGGUAAUACGGAGGGUGCAAGCGUUAAUCGGAAUUACUGGGCGUACAGCGCCCGCAGGCGGUUUGUUAAGUCAGAUGUGAAAUCCCCGGGCUCAACCUGGGAAAUGCAUCUGAUACUGGCAAGCUUGAGUCUCGUAGAGGGGGGUAGAAUUCCAGGUGUAGCGGUGAAAUGCGUAGAGAUCUGGAGGGAUACCGGUGGCGAAGGCGGCCCCCUGGACGAAGACUGACGCUCAGGGGCGAAAGCGUGGGGAGCAAACAGG